GUUUGGCGGGUGCGAGUAUGAGAU
rnacentral:piRNA from 1 species